AAACAAGAACUUAAUGAUAGGCACCAAUGUGUAACAAUGAACCUUAUAUUAUUGAAAUCUUUGAAACCAGCUGAUUUUGGGGGGGAGGCAUAUCAAAAUGACUGAGAUUUAUACAAUAAUAUCACCCACCUCCCUGCACAUCUUCUUGUGCAAUACCAGCCCCAUCCCUGAGACAGGAUGGGGAGGGUCAAAGUAAAUGGGUGUAGCCAAAUUAUUAGGCACUGUUCACCAGGGCUACCUUCAUCUCUGGCAAAGUAGAUAUUGUUGCCAUCAAUGACCACUUCUUUGAGCUCAGUUAUAUGGUCUAUGUGUUCCAUUAUAAUUCCACCCACUGCGAGUUCCAUGGGACAAUGCCAAAAAACUUGUCAUCAAUGGGAUGUUGUAGAUUCUUCUGGUAUCUUUACUACCAUGGAGCAGGCCAGGGCUCAGUUGAAGGGUGGAGUUGAAAGGAUCACUGUGUUUGCUCUUCUGCUGAUAUCGUCACAUUUGUGAUAGUUAUGGACUAUGAGAAAAAACCUGCACCAACUGUUUAGCUCCCUGGCCAAGGUCAUUCAUAACAAUUUCAGCAUUGUCAAGGUACUUAUGACCACACUACAUGCCAUCAGUGCCAUGCAGAAGAUGGUGGAUGUCUCUCUGGGGCUGUCAGAAUACCAUUCCUAUAUCUACUGGUGCUGCCAAGGCUGUGGGCAAGGUUCUUCCAGAACUGAAGUUUACUGUCAUGACCUUCGGUGUUCUCACUCCAAUAUGUAUGUCAUGAGUCUGACUUGCUGCCUGGAGAAAGCUACAUAUAGUAGCAUCAAGAAGGUGGUAAAAUAGGCAUCGGAUGGACCCCUAACAGGCAUUCUGGGCUCUAGUGAGGACCAGGUUGUCUCUUGGGACCUUAACCUAACCCAGUCUUCUACUUUGAUACUGAGGCUGGCACUGCCUUUAAUGACCAUUUUGUCAAGCUCAUUUUCUAGUAUGACAAUGAAUAUGGGCAUGGCAAUAGGAAGGAUGGUGGGGCUCAUGUUCCACAUGGCCUCUGUGAAGUAAGAAACCUGGGGACUAUCUAUCCCAGCAAGAAUGUGAAAAAAUGGAGUCUUAGGCUGUUUGGGCAGAGAGAGGCAGAUCCCUGGAGUCCUCUAGCUAUCUAGCCUAAUCGAAUUAGCAAGCUAUAGCUCCCAGUGUGAGAACUUUUCUUGAAAGUUAGGCUAGAGAGCUCCUGAGAAAUGAUCCCCAAGGUUGACUUCUAAUCUCAACUCCAGUACCAGAGCAGGAAAUCAAGGCAGGGGUACUCACUGUAAUAUUGAUGUUCUUCAGUGACACUCAGAAAUAUCAGUUUCAACCAAUAUUGUUCUUCAUGAAACAUUGCUAACUCUUAAAUUAUUAACUCUCAGUUUUUUUUUUUUCUUUUUUCGGAGCUGGGGACCGAACCCAGAACUCUCAGUUUUGGAAGGGGAUUUGGAAGUUGUAUUGCGGAUGAAGCUCAGAGCUUAUGUAUACAGGGUGGCCCAGCAGGGAUCCCCUUGUGACUGAAGUCAGAGUUUGCACAGACUCCUAAGAGGUUUUCCGAUUUCUCACUGCCCUGGUGGUCAGAGGAGGGAAUUAAGCAAAGGAAAAUGACCAGCUGAGCUUUUUGGAAGUCCAAAGGAACAAUGGCACACGCUCUCUCGCAGUCCUGUUGUAGAGUCAGAUGGCCAGGGCAAGGGACUCUUUGGCUUCCUUCCUUGUUCUGCAAGUCCCUUACCCACCGGUGGAGGCUCCCACUGUGACCAAACUGCUUUGCAACACCGAGUGGGAACUGGUGAACACCCUCACACCCCAAUCCGUCACUGUGUCAGCGAAAAGCCAAGGGACAACCCAGGCUGGCUGCGUGGGCGCAGGGAACCGUCUGGACAGUUUGCUAGCCCAGGUAGAUCAAUGCCUCUCUGGAGAAGGGAGGCGACGCGGAGGCUCCCACAGUCUUGCCAUCUGUUCUCUGAGAGUUAGCCUCCAUUUCUCUCUUCACGCAAGGACAGCAUCUGUGGAGAGAUCUCUGAUCUCAUUCCUCGAGAUGUCAGUGCAUUUGUUGUCCAGCGUGGCUCCAUCUCACAGACCUUGAUCUUGAAGGAUGCUCCAACCACCUCCUCGGGCGGGCCUGUGGACUGGACUCAGAAAAUCCGGCUGUGUUCUUGUUCCUGUCAAGUCCCAGAAUCCCUUAGGUCUGUUCUCUUAUUUAUAAAGUUAGAAGAAUGGCUGGGUGGGGGUGGGGGGUAUCUCUCAGGGCUCUUUUAGCUCCAAAUGGCUACGAUUCUAUUUAGACUCAUUUGAAGAGCAGACAAUGGACUCUAUUUUUUGGUGGCACUGGUGACUGCCUUUUUAUAUGCAAAUGUGAACUGUGAAUCCCAAAAGGGACUGUGGAAAUGAACUGCCCCUAGUGGAGGGUCAUGGACCUUGAUGGAUGGACAAUACCAGCAGGCAAAGUAGGGGGAAAACCCGAGAGGUCACGGAACCAAGUGGAAUUUCAAUGAAGGGGACGGCGAGUGAAUGAGGUAAACAGAACCUGAGUCAAGUUUAUUGAGUCCUCUAGCUAAGGGCAUGAUGGAAACCAGACUGCUUAGUUUCUCCAAGUGUAUGCCAAUAUGGCAAUAGGAAAAAUGAUUGGACGGUAAUAUAAAUUUUACAACAUUGGGAAAAACAGAGUUGAGUUGAUGCCUUAAGGCCAGUCAUCUGAGCGGUGCCUUUUCAGAGUGGACAAGGGCUCUUGGGAUAGUUUCAUGCUUUCAGGGGUAACCAAAAAAAAUUAGGUUAUAUGGUCAUUUGCUUGAGGUAUGUCCCCCAUACGCAGAGGCUUUAGACCCUUGAUCCCUGGUUGGGGAGGGACCCUUGCUGAUGGAAGUUUGUCAAGGGGUGCAGACUUGAGAGUUCGUAGCCUCACCCCACUUCCAGUUUGUUUUCCCUGCUUCCUGUGUCUCCAUGGACAUGCUAUCUAUCAGCUUCCGGUUCUGACUGUUUGCUCAUGAUGGACUCUGAUCAGCCUGGAACCGUACAUCAAACUGAGCACUUCUUUCUAUAAGUUGUCUGGUUUUGAUAUUUCUCCCAGCAAUAAAAAGUAAUUAAUACAGGUUACUACUUUUUAGUUCCUUCCUGAGCUGUAAAUGAUACGCAAAGCAAAAUAUCCUUACAGUGAAGCGAGACUAACACACACGCAGACACACACAUGCUUUACAAAAACGAUUGCUUUCUGUGUAUAGUCUAUUGUCUCAAUGAAGACAUAUAGGUUGUUCAUGCUGGUAGGGCCUUGAGAUCCUUACCUGGAGCUGCACAGGCAGACAUUAGCAGUGGAAUAGAUGCAUGUACACUAUUUUGCGGGAUGCAAACCAUUUGCUGCUUCUCUAAAGUAAUAGCAUUAACCCAAUUUGUCAAUGGAUCCAUUCCCUCAAUAGACGACAGUCCCUUAACCAGGCACGGUGGCACAUUCCUUCAAUCCAGACACUCUCAAGGCUAAAUUGGAAGGACCAAGGUUAAAACUUUGUUUGCUUGUGGUAGUGAUAACACAAACAACGCCAAAACCGUAAUAACUGAAUGAGUCUUCUUGUAGAAGAAUGAUUAAUUGCCAUUAUUGACUCUAUAUUAUAUAUCACCUCUGGGACUAUCUAGGAGUGUGUUUCAGGUUUAACUGCGUGUGAUGGCUAGUCUUGGCUGUACACUUGACAUACCUCAAUUGAAGGACUGCUUCUAUCAGGUUGCUCUUGAUGGUGAUGCUUAAAUGAUUCUUGAUGACAUGAAAGCCUACAGCAUUCUGGGCAGAACAGCUCCUGGCAGGUGGGUCUGGGGCAUAUAAGAAAGGUAGCUGGACAGUAGGUAGCAUUCAUCCAUUGGUUUCUUUUUUCAAGUUCUUGUCUUGAGUUCCUGCCCUGGCUUCCAUAAAUGAUAGGCUGUAACCUGUAAGCCAAACAAUGCUUUUUCUUCCCAAGCUGGCUUUGGUCAGCGUCUUAUCACAGUAACAGAUAGCAACCUAGGACAACUGUUGAUGGAAGAAUCCCUUUGAGUUUAUACCACAUCAUCCUAUGAGCAGGUAUCUCAGCCUGGAUAAAAAGACAAGAGCGAGACAAGGGCAAAGUGCUAGUACUCACCAGUUACAUCUUCCUUAAUGUGAUCAGCUAACUCAGGCUCCUGUCACCACACUGGUCGUGGAGGACUGUGUCCUUCAAACUGUGAGCUAAAACAAAUCUCCGAAGACAAGAAACUAAGCUUGAGGCAGUCAAAAGAACUGCUAAACAUUGGCAUUUUUUU
rnacentral:sRNA from 1 species